ensembl:lncRNA
CAUUUUUGGCCCAUGCGAGCUUCCGUACCGGAGCGUCAGGUUCCAGGAGGUGGCUUCGCUCUCACAACAAACAGCGCCGUUUUCUCACUAAACUAUGAACUAUUUUACAAACUCUCUCGGUAAAUCGUGCCGCAAAACGGGACGCUUUCAAUGUGAAAACAGUCCAGUAACCGGUCAAAGUUUGCUACCGGGACAAUUUUUACUUUUUUCGUUUUAUUUGAUGAAGAUUCGAGCAAGCUAACAAAGUUAGCCACAGCAGCUAACAGAUGUUCAGGAACUUUAUUUGGAUGAAAAUGUAUUUUAAUCGACUUUAAAUGUGGUUUCAGACCGUUUAGAGGAAGUAAAACAUACAGACCAAAGAACUACAGACUCUUCACAACCUGCUCAAACUCUUGGUACAGGACCUCACCACACGGGUCAAGAAGGACGAUGCCACGCCUGCAGUCCGGCGUGUGGAAACAUUUCACGCCGGCCAUUAAAGAUGGAAGAGAAACCUUCAUGUGCAACUACUGUCUGAGGACCUACACCAAGAACGCCACCAAGAUGCAGAUGCAUUUGGACAAAUGUAAGGAGUUUUCUGUGGUUUCUCAGCGGUCUCCAGGUCCAGAAGUAAGCUCCUCGGCCUCCAUCCCGGUUCCAUCCUACUCCUUCCUGCCGGCGGCCUCGUCUGGGGGACAGUUUCUCAUCGAUUCGGUGGAUCAGCAGAGCCAGGCGCUGGCUGACGAGUGUCUGGCGAGGGCCGUGUUCGCCUCGUCCUCAACGCUCAGCCUCAUGGACAACAUCUACUGGAAGCGAUUCUUGGGCAUCCUGCGGCCGGCGUACUGCCCCCCGACCCCCGAGGCUCUGUCCACCCACCUGCUGGACGACGAGUACCACCGAGUGAGGAGCCUGGUCCAUGAGGCCGUCAGGAAGGCCGACUGCGUCUCCAUCAUCUGCAGCGGCUGGUCCGGCGCUGAAGAAACAGGAACUGUCAUUUAUGUUGUCGCCACUCCUGCUCCGCUCUUCUACAAAAGCAGCAAGACGAAGGAGUUCUCAGCCGAGGAGCUGAAAGACGUCAUCAGCAAAGUCGGACCUCAGAAGGUUUUUGCCGUCGUCACCGAUGACUCACCGGAGAUGACCUCGGCGUGGCUCCAGGUAGAGGAAGCGUUUCCUCACAUAUCGGCCGUCGGCUGCUCUGCUGCUGCCGUCCGCCGGCUGUUUGAUGACAUCAUGAAGCAGCCAUCUAUGAUGUCACUGUGCAGCCGAGCUGAGCAGGUGUUCAGGUGUUUAAGAGAGCAGAACAUACCAGCUGAGACCUCCAGAAGUUGGAAAACUACCAAACUAAGAAACCAAUCUAACGGGCUGGAGCUGCCUGACUGGACUGAUGUGGUGAACCUGCUCAGCUGCCUGCUGGAGGAUCAGAAUCAUCUCCAGAACCUGGCCCACACGCUGAACGUGGAACCUUCCAUCAGGUCAACUCUGCAGGACGAAGACUUCUGGAAAAGUCUGAGCAGCAGCAGAAACCUUCUCUACCUGGUCGGGAGUCAUCUGGACUUCGUGAGAAGAGAAGAUGCCGUUCUGUCUGGGGUUGUCGACAUGUUCGGUCAGUUACGAUACGCGGUCGGACCGACUCUUUCCGGGUCGGUGCUGCUCAGCGGCGAGCAGGAAGCCGUCAUGGCGUCGCUGGACCGAUGUGAGGAGUUCUGCGUGAAGCCGAUCCACGUCGCGGCGUUCAUGUUGGAUCCAAGGCAUGCCGGACAGCAGACGCUCUCCGUAGAGCAGGUCAGCGGCGCCUACAGCCUCAUCUCCACGCUGUCGCAGCACCUGGACCUGGACGAGGGGAAAGUUCUGGGCAGCUUUGCUCGUUUCUCGGCUAGACAGGGCCUCUGGAGGGGAUCCGGGAUCUGGAGUUCCUGUCAGCAUGUAUCUCCAUCCACCUGGUGGAAAGGACUGUGUUCCUCUGAGCUGCUGUCUGCCAUCGCAUUCGCUGUUCUCCAGAUCCCCCCGACCACGGCGGCCUGCGAUCGCCUGCGGUCGCAUUUCUGUAGCGCUAAAACAGAAACUUUGAUCUCAGCUGAAAGGUUGCACAAACUGGUGGCCGUUCAGACGAAUCUGAACCUUUUAGAGCCGCUGGAGAGUGAAGAAGAAGAGAAGAAGGUUUUAUGUCAGUCUGAGACUAAAUGUGAACCCAUGUAGAGAAAAACUGCCUGAAAUUGCACUUUCCCACCAGCACCUACUCGGUUCGGUUUGUGAGGUUUUCCAUCAGGACGUAGUACCUGGUAGCAGCUACUGUUUUAGUACCUACUCGGCCAGGGUUCCCAGCGAGCUGAGUGGAGCCGAUAAUGUGACGUCUAUGGAGUGCAGGCCACUGAUUGGACAGGAAGUGAUGACACACCGGAGCAACUCCUUCACGAAAACCGAACUUGCCAUUUAAAAAACAAAAAAACAAACUGGCAACAGCAAUGGUGUGCAUUGCUCUUCAUGGAACUGAGAAAAUCUGACAAAAAGCCACAGACUGAGCAGCAGGUGUACCAUGGCCUCCAUGUCCUCCAUCGUUGUGUUGCACACAAAUGACUUUAAGGGACUUCUGGGCCGCCGUGCUACGAUAUCUCCACGCAUGAUCAGGUGGUGCUCAGUGUAAUGGAAAACCACCUAAACCGAGUAGAGCCGAGGAGGUCCUAGUGGAAAAGCACCUAAAAUGAACAAAAUCCAGUUUAUUAGAUCAAAUGUAGAGUUUGUAAAUCAACUUUUUAUAGUCACAACGUGACACUUUAACACACUAGCAGUCUUUGUUCGAACAUUUGUUUACAUGGUGUAAAUAAAACGGUUGUUUACCCAAAAGUUCUCCUUCUUCUUCUCUACAGACACACGUUUGGGAGGUGAUGAAUGUCGGUUCUUAUGAUUUGAUUUUG